rfam:Tenacibaculum dicentrarchi strain AY7486TD, complete genome.
UUUUGGGUUAGGGAUUGCAGUGGCAUCCUUUUUUAUUUUUUUUCAAAAUAAAAAAGAUAUAACGGAAAGCCCGACUACGC